rnacentral:rRNA from 1 species
UACGUUCCCGGGCCUUGUACACACCGCCCGUCACGUCACGAAAGUCGGUAACACCCGAAGCCGGUGGCCCAACCCUUUUGGGAGGGAGCUGUCGAAGGUGGGAUCGGCGAUUGGGACG